rnacentral:rRNA from 1 species
UACGUAGGGUGCGAGCGUUGCUCGGAAUCACUGGGCGUAAAGCGCACGUAGGCGGCUUUCUAAGUCAGGGGUGAAAUCCUGGAGCUCAACUCCAGAACUGCCUUUGAUACUGGAGAGCUUGAGUCCGGAAGAGGUGAGUGGAACUCCGAGUGUAGAGGUGAAAUUCGUAGAUAUUCGGAAGAACACCAGUGGCGAAGGCGGCAUCCUGGACCGACAUUGACGCUGAGGAGCGAAAGCUAGGGGAGCAAACAGGG